AAUGGGGAAACCCAGUGUGACUCGUCACACUAUCAUUAACUGAAUCCAUAGGUUAAUGAGGCGAACCGGGGGAACUGAAACAUCUAAGUACCCCGAGGAAAAGAAAUCAACCGAGAUUCCCCCAGUAGCGGCGAGCGAACGGGGAGGAGCCCAGAGCCUGAAUCAGCAUGUGUGUUAGUGGAAGCGUCUGGAAAGGCGCGCGAUACAGGGUGACAGCCCCGUACACAAAAGCGCAUGUGCUGUGAGCUCGAUGAGUAGGGCGGGACACGUGGUAUCCUGUCUGAAUAUGGGGGGACCAUCCUCCAAGGCUAAAUACUCCUGACUGACCGAUAGUGAACCAGUACCGUGAGGGAAAGGCGAAAAGAACCCCGGCGAGGGGAGUGAAAAAGAACCUGAAACCGUGUACGUACAAGCAGUGGGAGCACCCUUUGGGGUGUGACUGCGUACCUUUUGUAUAAUGGGUCAGCGACUUAUAUUCUGUAGCAAGGUUAACCGAAUAGGGGAGCCGGAGGGAAACCGAGUCUUAAUUGGGCGUUAAGUUGCAGGGUAUAGACCCGAAACCCGGUGAUCUAGCCAUGGGCAGGUUGAAGGUUGGGUAACACUAACUGGAGGACCGAACCGACUAAUGUUGAAAAAUUAGCGGAUGACCUGUGGCUGGGGGUGAAAGGCCAAUCAAACCGGGAGAUAGCUGGUUCUCCCCGAAAGCUAUUUAGGUAGCGCCUCGUGAAUUCAUCUCCGGGGGUAGAGCACUGUUUCGGCUAGGGGGCCAUCCCGGCUUACCAACCCGAUGCAAACUGCGAAUACCGGAGAAUGUUAUCACGGGAGACACACGGCGGGUGCUAACGUCCGUCGUGAAGAGGGAAACAACCCAGACCGCCAGCUAAGGUCCCAAAGUCAUGGUUAAGUGGGAAACGAUGUGGGAAGGCCCAGACAGCCAGGAUGUUGGCUUAGAAGCAGCCAUCAUUUAAAGAAAGCGUAAUAGCUCACUGGUCGAGUCGGCCUGCGCGGAAGAUGUAACGGGGCUAAACCAUGCACCGAAGCUGCGGCAGCGACACUCAGGUGUUGUUGGGUAGGGGAGCGUUCUGUAAGCCUGCGAAGGUGGCCUGUGAGGGUUGCUGGAGGUAUCAGAAGUGCGAAUGCUGACAUAAGUAACGAUAAAGCGGGUGAAAAGCCCGCUCGCCGGAAGACCAAGGGUUCCUGUCCAACGUUAAUCGGGGCAGGGUGAGUCGACCCCUAAGGCGAGGCCGAAAGGCGUAGUCGAUGGGAAACGGGUUAAUAUUCCCGUACUUGGUGUUACUGCGAAGGGGGGACGGAGAAGGCUAUGUUGGCCGGGCGACGGUUGUCCCGGUUUAAGCGUGUAGGUGUGUGUUCCAGGUAAAUCCGGUU
rnacentral:rRNA from 1 species